rnacentral:rRNA from 1 species
UGGGGAAUAUUGCACAAUGGGCGCAAGCCUGAUGCAGCCAUGCCGCGUGUGUGAAGAAGGCCUUCGGGUUGUAAAGCACUUUCAGCGGGGAGGAAGGCGUUAAGGUUAAUAACCUUGGCGAUUGACGUUACCCGCAGAAGAAGCACCGGCUAACUCCGUGCCAGCAGCCGCGGUAAUACGGAGGGUGCAAGCGUUAAUCGGAAUUACUGGGCGUAAAGCGCACGCAGGCGGUCUGUCAAGUCGGAUGUGAAAUCCCCGGGCUCAACCUGGGAACUGCAUUCGAAACUGGCGGGGUAGAGGAUUGUAGAGGGGGGUAGAAUUCCAGGUGUAGCGGUGAAAUGCGUAGAGAUCUGGAGGAAUACCGGUGGCGAAGGCGGCCCCCUGGACAAAGACUGACGCUCAGGUGCGAAAGCGUGGGGAGCAAACAGG